rnacentral:lncRNA from 10 species
CUGUUGCUUCCGCCUCCCGGGGCGCAGGCGCUGGGCGCGGCGGGGAAGGGACUCGGCACUGGGGAAACCCGGAGUUUCAGCCAGGGUCCCAGGGCUUCCUUCCCGGGUUCCUGCCGGAAAACUUUUCUCCUCCGCCCGGAAGCCUCGAUGGGGCAGUGAGAUCGCGGGGCGAGGUGGGAGUGUGGGAGGGGGCCGCGGGCAGAGAGCGGGAGUCCGGCUGGGUGGGAGAUCUCCUGAGCCGAAGCUGGGUCUCGCCCCAGCGUGGCGCCACCGACCCGCAGGCUUUUCCUGCUCUGCAGAUGGAGAGACACAGGGACGCUCCUCAGGUGGCUGCCCUGGGCUGCCAGCCUGUCAGUGGGAGGGGAGGGUGCAGACAAGAGGCCCCUGUUUCCGAAACCCCUCUGUCCCCAAAGCUGCGACAGCAGAAGACACUUAGGCGGCCUGAGGGGUUGGUGAACCACAGAGGAGCUCAGCUUCGCCUGGUCUCCAGCUCCCGGUGGCGGUGGCGUGUCCUUAAUGCUGCUGGCUUUGAACUGGACUGAGAACUAUUUACCACACAAACACCACCAUUUCAAUCCCGGAGAAUGCCUGUUUUCCCUAGGGUGACCUGGCCGGGGUAACAAACACUUGUUCUCUAAUUCCACGGUCAGCCUUGACUUAAUUGAGGUACUUGAUUUCCAACUUCCUGUCUUGCUGCCACAGAUAAUCACUGAUGAAACCAAACAGGCAACACCUUUUGGUGGCCUGUGGAGAGCGCUGCCCCGUCUGGGUCUUAGGAAGGCAAUUGAAUAUGAAUGUUCUCCCGAGUGCUUGUGGAAAAGAGAUGGUGUUGGCCACUUUUUAGACGAAGAGAAAUGAGUACUAGUGAACACUAAUCAUAGUGACUAAACAGUAAACGGCUCCCAUUUGUUGUCGGCUAAAGCACUGAUUCUUCAUUUUCCAUCCCAGCCUGUCCUGCUCUGGCCUGCCCUGUGCUCAGGAAGCUGGCGGUCCCCCUCAGUGGAUCUUCACCCACAGGGACAACCUGCUGCAGACCGGGUAGGAGGGAGGCAGGGGCCUCUUCCCCUCUCCUUCCUGGCCUGGCCCCACACCCACCAGUGUUGGUUUCACUCUGUGGCUACGAUUCUUCCUGGGUGCCCUUUCCAUUGCACAACUCCUCUAGGCUCUACGAACAGAACUUCUCCCCGCCCCCAAGCCUCUUAGGGUGAGACAUGUUGUCGGUCUGCCAUUGUUGCUGGUCCCUAAAUAGCAGCACCCUUUGAAGGAUCCUUGAACCAUGACCACACCGCAACAAAGAGUCCUUCAUCAAACUCGCUUCCAAAUCCCCUCCCAAGAACACCUUCAGUUUCCUGCAAGAACCCUGACUGCUGAAGCCGGAUUUUGACUAAGCUUCUACCUUGUAAACCGUGACUGUGGGAUUGGGGUCGAGGCGCAAUCAGAGGUUGUAUAAGGCACUAGAUCAAGGCUGCCUGUCUGUCAGGAGUGUCUGCUUUAUUCAGUAGUAAAUGUGAAUUGUUUUUCA